UACGUAGGAGGCGAGCGUUGUCCGGAGUUACUGGGCGUAAAGCGUGCGCAGGCGGUUCGUUGUGUCCGAUGUGAAAGCCCCGGGCUUAACCUGGGAAUGGCAUUGGAAACUGGCGAGCUUGAGUGCGGCAGAGGGGGGUGGAAUUCCGCGUGUAGCAGUGAAAUGCGUAGAGAUGCGGAGGAACACUGAUGGCGAAGGCAGCCCCCUGGGUCGACACUGACGCUCAGGCACGAAAGCGUGGGGAGCAAACAGG
rnacentral:rRNA from 1 species